rnacentral:rRNA from 1 species
GAUGAACGCUGGCGGCGUGCCUAAUACAUGCAAGUCGAGCGAACAGACGAGGAGCUUGCUCCUCUGACGUUAGCGGCGGACGGGUGAGUAACACGUGGAUAACCUACCUAUAAGACUGGGAUAACUUCGGGAAACCGGAGCUAAUACCGGAUAAUAUAUUGAACCGCAUGGUUCAAUAGUGAAAGACGGUUUUGCUGUCACUUAUAGAUGGAUCCGCGCCGCAUUAGCUAGUUGGUAAGGUAACGGCCUACCAAGGCAACGAUGCGUAGCCGACCUGAGAGAGUGAUAGGCCACACUGGAACUGAGACACGGUCCAGACUCCUACGGGGGGCAGCAGUAGGGAAUCUUCCGCAAUGGGCGAAAGCCUGACGGAGCAACGCCGCGUGAGUGAUGAAGGUCUUCGGAUCGUAAAACUCUGUUAUUAGGGAAGAACAAAUGUGUAAGUAACUAUGCACGUCUUGACGGUACCUAAUCAGAAAGCCACGGCUAACUACGUG